GACGAACGCUGGCGGCGUGCUUAACACAUGCAAGUCGAACGAAGUGGCGAACGGGUGAGUAACGCGGAAUCAACCUGCCCUUCAGCGGGGGACAUCAGCUGGAAACGACUGCUAAUACCGCAUAAUGAAGGAGGGGAUUGGGUCUGAUCAGCAAGGUGGAGGGGUAACGGCCAACCAAGGCGAUGGUGAGUAGCCGGGCUGAGAGGAUGAACGGCCACAUUGGGACUGGUGCACGGCCCAGACUCCUACGGGAGGCAGCAGUGGGGAAUCUUCCGCAAUGGACGAAAGUCUGACGGAGCAACGCCGCGUGAGUGAUGACGGCCUUCGGGUUGUAAAGCUCUGUUAAUCGGGACGCGGUACCGGAAUAGAAAGCCACGGCUAACUACGUGCCAGCAGCCGCGGUAAUAC
rnacentral:rRNA from 1 species